rnacentral:rRNA from 1 species
CCCUACGGGGGGCAGCAAUUAGGAACCUUGCGCAAUGGGGGAAACCCUGACGCAGCGACGCCGCGUGAAGGAUGACGGCCUUCGGGUUGUAAACUUCUUUUAAGAGGGAAGAAGGAAGUGACGGUACCUCUUGAAUAAGCCCCGGCUAACUACGUGCCAGCAGCCGCGGUAAUACGUAGGGGGCGAGCGUUGUCCGAAGUUACUGGGCGUAAAGCGCGCGUAGGCGGACUUUUAAGUUGGGGGUGAAAACUCAGGGCUCAACCCUGAGCGUGCCUUCAAAACUGGGAGUCUUGAGGUAUGGAGAGGUAAGUGGAAUUCCUGGUGUAGCGGUGAAAUGCGUAGAUAUCAGGAGGAACACCCGUGGCGAAGGCGGCUUACUGGUCAUAUCCUGACGCUGAGGUGCGAAAGCCAGGGGAGCGAACGGGAUUAGAUACCCCUGUAGUCCG